rnacentral:rRNA from 1 species
UACGUAGGGUGCGAGCGUUAAUCGGAAUUACUGGGCGUAAAGCGUGCGCAGGCGGUUUUGUAAGCCCGAUGUGAAAGCCCCGGGCUUAACCUGGGAAUGGCAUUUGGGACUGCAAGGCUGGAGUUUGGCAGAGGAGACUGGAAUUCCUGGUGUAGCAGUGAAAUGCGUAGAUAUCAGGAGGAAUACCGAUGGCGAAGGCAGGUCUCUGGGCUAUAACUGACGCUGAGGAGCGAAAGCAUGGGGAGCGAACAGG